ACGCCGGGACGCCGGGCGCUUUCCCGCCGGCGGUGGCGGCGGGCCCGGGAGACUGGUUGGCACUGAAGCUGGGCCCCGGCGAGGGCGCGGGAGAGCGCGGGAUCCCAGAGUCGGGAAGCUGGCACUGAGAGGGCCAGCGCACACGCGCGCCCCUGCCCGACGCGGCGUUCGCGGGCAUCCUGGGUAUCUGCUAUUACGGCUCCUUGGAUUCUGUCAGCUCGAUGUCCUGGGAGACGACUGAGGUUCCCACAGACCAAACUGUGGCACAGCACCAGACAGGUAACAAUACUGAGGUUUUCUCUGUGUCCAUGUGAGGAGAGCAACGGCUCACCCCGAAAUGGAAUGCCCGACGUCUCAGUUCUGGAGGCUGGGAGCUGGCUGAUUUGGUUACUAGUGACAGAUCUCUUCUGGCUUGUACCUUCUUGCUGUGUCCUCACAUGAACUCCUUCAUGCUGCUGGGUCACUGCCACUUCUGUCUUCCUCCAAAAUACCACCUCGUACCUACAGCACGUCACCACUAAGCACGGAUUCUGGUGUGGAUGUGUAAAGAGGUGAUGCCUGGAACUAUGACAGCCUUUUGCGGACCAUUAGAGGAGCCUCCAAAGGAUAAGCCAGCAUACUAAGAAUGCACUAUUCACAAUAGUCAAGAUGUGGGAACUACCGAAAACUUCACCAACAGACGAAUGAAUGGAGAAAAUGUGACGUAUACACACAAUGGGAUAUUACUCAGCCUUAAAGGACAUUCUGCAAGAUGUGACAACCCCGGGUGAAACUUGAGGACAUCAUACUAAGUGAAAGAAGCCAGAAAAAACAGAAAGGUCUCCAACCAACAGAUCUAUUCUUUCUCCUUCUGGGUACUUAAUUUCUCCGAGGGAAUGUACUAGCAUCAGCUUUGGACUUUCUUCCUGUGUUGGAGAAGAGUAACAUUUGAUGCCUUUGGCCCAAGAAACUUCACUGAACAUUGAGAUGUAGGAGGAGAGCAUUGAAAUUCAUAUUUAAUAACCAGCUUGCCUUUUUUAUACUUAAAGGCUUUUUUUUUUUCAAAAGAAAAAAUCUAAUUAUGCAUAAGAGAAAUUCACUUAGAAUUAAUUCACUAGGAAUUAACUUGAAAAAAAGGUAAGGAUGUUAACAAUCUUUUUAAAAAAAUAAUUCAAAUUAGAAACACUAAUUAUAGGAACUCCUUUAUAUAACAUGAAACACAGUUCUCUGAGACAUGGGGGAGAGGGCUGGCUUGUAAAGCCGACUUUCAGAGAACAGCGUCUGAUUUAUGGGGGAAUUUGUGUGAGUGAGGCAUAAAAUUUCCCUUGAGAAAGGACUGCCCAGUUCUUCUGAUAAACUGUGUGAUCGUUUCUGGGGAGACCAAAGGACAUAACAUGACCAACAUUUAAUUUUGGGAUCAGGACCUAAGGGUUUAACAUCUUGGACUUAUAAAGUCAUGAAGGAAAGGAGCCAGAAUGCUUGACUGGCCCCUCUGAUCUGGGCCUCCUCAGAUCAGAAACACACAGUGAGUGAGUGAUAAAGCUGGGAUUUCUAUCUGGGUGUGUCCUAUAUAGUGUUUUGCUCUCUUCGCUUCACCAGGCAGCCCUGAGGACAGGCAGGGAUCUCAACAGGAUCUCAAUAGGAAAGCACAAAGGUGCUUUCUGAUACCUUAUCAAGGUUAUCUUGGCCAAUCACCAGAUAGAAGGGUAAAGACAAGGUCCUAAACACAGUUUGUCAAACCAGGGUGGUGUCCCGUUCUCAGACUGUGAAAUCAAAUUUUAGAGUAUCUCAAUAUGAAUUUUUAAAACACAGAGCAAUGUGGAUGGAACUGGAGGGUAUUAUGCUAAGUGAAACAAGUCAGUCUGAGAAAGACAGAUAUCAUAUGAUUUCACUCAUAUGUGGAAGUUGAGAAACUCAACAGAUGAACAUAGGGGCAGGGAAGGAAAAAUAAGAUAAAAACAGAGAGGGAGGCAAACCAUAAGAGACUCUUAAAUACACAGAAAAAACAGGGUUGCUAGAGGGGAGAUGGGUGGGGGGAUGGGUUAAAUGGGUGAUGGGCAUUAAGGAGGCCACUUGCUGGGAUGAGCCCUGGGUGUCAUAUGUAAGAGAUGAAUCACUGGGUUCUCUUCCUGAAGCCAAGACUACACCGUAUGUUAUCUAACUUGAAUUAAAAAAAAUUUUUUUUAACAUUUAUUUAUUUUUGAGACAGAGAGAGCACGAACAGGGGAGGGUCAGAGAGAGAGGGAGACACAGAAUCUGAAACAGGCUCCGGGCUCUGAGCUGUCAGCACCGAGCCCGAUGCAGGGCUUGAACUCACAGACCGCGAGAUCAUGACCUGAGCUGAAGUCGGAUGCUUAACCGACUGAGCCACCCAGGC